rnacentral:rRNA from 1 species
CCCAGACUCCUACGGGAGGCAGCAGUCGGGAAUAUUGCGCAAUGGAGGAAACUCUGACGCAGUGACGCCGCGUAUAGGAAGAAGGUUUUCGGAUUGUAAACUAUUGUCGUUAGGGAAGAGAAAGGACAGUACCUAAGGAGGAAGCUCCGGCUAACUACGUGCCAGCAGCCGCGGUAAUACGUAGGGAGCGAGCGUUAUCCGGAAUUAUUGGGUGUAAAGGGAGCGUAGACGGCAGCGCAAGUCUGAAGUGAAAUCCCAUGGCUUAACCAUGGAACUGCUUUGGAAACUGUGCAGCUGGAGUGCAGGAGAGGUAAGCGGAAUUCCUAGUGUAGCGGUGAAAUGCGUAGAUAUUAGGAGGAACACCGGUGGCGAAGGCGGCUUACUGGACUGCAACUGACGUUGAGGCUCGAAGGCGUGGGGAGCAAACAGGAUUAGAUACCCGCGUA